UACAGAGGUCCCAAGCGUUGUUCGGAUUCACUGGGCGUAAAGGGUGCGUAGGUGGUGAGGUAAGUCGGAUGUGAAAUCUCCGAGCUCAACUCGGAAAUGGCAUUGGAAACUACCUUGCUCGAGGGUUGGAGGGGGGACUGGAAUGCUUGGUGUAGCGGUGAAAUGCGCAGAUAUCGGGAGGAACACCAGUGGCGAAGGCGGCUACCUGGACCGGUUCUGACGCUGAUGCGCGAAAGCGUGGGUAGCAAACAGG
rnacentral:rRNA from 1 species